ensembl:snoRNA SNORA70 Small nucleolar RNA SNORA70
CUGCAGUCAGUUAAGCCGACUGGGCGCCUUGGCUAGUGGGUGCCCAGUGUGCAAUGGCUGCAGACAGCAACCUCCUUGGUAGUGUACGCAGCCUGUUGCUGGUAUGGGCUGCCCCAAGGGACCUUGGAGACAUUG